rnacentral:rRNA from 1 species
UGCAGUCGAGCGGUAAGGCCUCUUCGGAGGUACACGAGCGGCGGACGGCUGAGUAACGCGUAGGAACGUACCCCAAAGUGAGGGAUAAGCUUCAGAAAUGAAGUCUAAUACCGCAUGUGCUCUAAGGAGUAAAGCUUCGGCGCUUUGGGAACGGCCUGCGUCCGAUUAGCUAGUUGGUGAGAUAAUAGCUCACCAAGGCUACGAUCGGUAGCUGGUCUGAGAGGAUGAUCAGCCAGACUGGGACUGAGAACGGCCCAGACUCCUACGGGAGGCAGCAGUAGGGAAUUUUCCACAAUGGGCGAAAGCCUGAUGGAGCAACGCCGCGUGCAGGAUGAAGGCCUUCGGGUUGUAAACUGCUUUUAUAUAUGAUGAUUAUGACAGUAGUAUAUGAAUAAGGAUCGGCUAACUCCSUGCCAGCAGCCGCGGUCAUACGGAGGAUCCGAGCGUUAUCCGGAAUUACKGGGCGUAAAGAGUUGCGUARGUGGCAUASUAAGCAGGGCAUGAAAUCGUGUGGCUCAACCAUACAUCCMUGUUCUKAACUGCUAAKCUAGAGGACKAGAGAGGUAACUAGAAUUCCUAGUGUAGGAGUGAAAUCCGUAKAU